ensembl:lncRNA
AGGGGGCAGCUCCACCAGGUACGCUCACAUCGACAUCACCGCCACGGAGACGGCGCACAAAGUGGGUACCCAACAUGCACUGGGGCGCCAGGAGGGCCUUCACACACUGGAGUUCCGGCGGCGGGGGCGCCACAGUGACUCCGCCCCUCCCCAAACCCCGCCCACACCCCACCCCCCUUCCAUGGACUGCAGCAGCACCUAUGGUGAGAGAGGCUCACGACUCUCACCGGAGUCACGGCGGACCACGCCUCCACGCCUGUUCUCUGACUUCCUGUGACCUCUGAACUCUCCCGAGAAGCCAUCCAAACCGGGAGCGUUUCUUUCAGCAUGGGGGGGGGGGGAAAGGAGAAUUCCCUACAAUUUUGCAUUUUUAUGCUUUAUGACAGAAUGAGAAAGACCGGGAGGUAUGGGAGAUGGGUAUGGCCCUAUAUGGGCGAGGACCCUAGGGCCAGGAAUCGAACCCGGGUCACUGCGAUGAGGACUGAGCCUUAGAUGGUACACGCCCUACCGGCUAAGCCUCGCGGGAGUGGGAAGGAGACUUCCCGUAUGGUUGUCUCAGACCAUGGGUUUCCUUUAAGACCCAUCCUGCAAUCACCCUCGCUGAAUAUCGGCUGGCUUUCUCGGUGAUCUCAUUCGUGUUUUCCUUUUCCUCCGCUGCCUGCCCAGACGGGGUCGAGGCUGACUAUACACGCCCAGCUCUGGCAGUGGGGGUGUCUGACCUGUUGUUAAAUGGCAUUAUGUCUUGGGUGGGGCAGCCUUGGGAGAGAGACGGCAAGAGACACACACGCAGAGGGAGAUGGAGAGAGAGAGGGAAUGUCUGGGGAGGGUUUAGGGAUGUUUCAGCAGAGACAUGACGUCUUAAGCACCUUCUCUAACUUAACCCCCCCUAACCCUAGCAAGGCUCUGAUAUGAGGAAAAUAUAUUGGGGGUCACCCACGCCUCGUUGAAAAGAGAAAGGCAUUGUGGGUGAGAAGAGAGCACAGCCACUCUCUACCAUGCCUGGGAUGUGGGUGCGAUUGCGCGAGAGGCGAUUUUCUUAUUUCGGCUCUUUUUUAAAAGAGAAAAGAUCGGAAAGUGUCUCCCACCACUCAGCUUUGUCCUCACUCGGAAUAGGGCAAGGAUAUCGCCAGAGACGGAACCGCCGCAGCUAGCUAGCCCUAAUGUACGCCCCGCGGGGCUAAUAAAAGAGCUAGCCAGACAGACUGCAAGGCGCUUCUUGCGUGUGAUAGGGUAAUGAGGUGGGAUGAUGUCACGAGUGCCUAAUUCUUCCACAUUGUGCACCGUUUCCCCCCCGCUCCCCCAAGGUGUAGCUAUCGGCCGGCUGUCGGCCCCAUUAGAGGGAUGUAUUCUCACCCCUCUUGCCAAUGUCUGGUUUCUUCCUUCCUUCCAGCUUCUAAGGAAUCACACGUUGAUGCAGAGUGGCAUGGGAGUGUGUGUAGCAAUGAUUAUUGCAUAGCGCACAACACUGGCUUUACGGAAGGAAAUGUUUUUUUUAAACGGAUGAAUGAUCCGCGAUUGUUUGAGACGUUUGUCGCGGACGUGAUAUGAAUUAAAAAAUAUCUAUAAUUAAUAUAAUUUGCUGUACUGUAGACCAUUAAUAUUAUAAUCGUAGGGCUUGUGGAGAUAAACCAAGUGUCUCCUGUCUGUGUGGUUGUAGAGGUGUGUUCAUAAUGACGUCUGGCGUUAAUUAGUCGUGGCUAGACCGGCCGUCAGCGAUGUUCAUUGACUGACUCCGUCCUGUACCUUGAUGAACCAGCUUUGUUCGGUUUUUGCAUAUUUUUUUUAUCUGUAAAUAUAGUCCGUCUGUCUGUUUUUAUUUUCUAUUUUAGAUUUUGAAUAUAAAUGUGAAGAUAUGUUGUACAGAUGAUUUGAGAUGAGGUGGUCCUCUUGAGGAUGUGUUUCUCUCUUCUAAUAUAAUUUAUAUCAACCAAUUACUCCCGAGUUUUCUUUAUCUUGAAUUCCAUUUUUUUUCUUUCAUCGGAUAACUGAAACACAUAAAGUGCACGGAAACAUAAGACUGCAUAAGUGUGUGUGUGUGUGUGUGUGUGUGUGUGUGUGUGUGUGUGUAAAAAAAAAUCAAGGCUAGGAGCCUCAUGUUUCAUAAAAAAAUGUAAUUAUGCGAUAAUCUUCGUUAUCUUACAUCAUAAUGAGUCAUGUGCUAAAGUGGUCAGGAAAAGCAAACGCAAUCAGCACCAUGACUUUAAGCUGUCACGGUCGAAGAAAAUGAAUAAAACGAUGAAUACGUUGUCUGUUAGGAAGGACACAUCUUGGUUUCUGAUUCUUUAAGCCCUCCAUGAUUCAACUUGGG